rnacentral:rRNA from 1 species
AGGAUGAACGCUGGCGGUCUGCUUAACACAUGCAAGUCGAACGGGCGUAGCAAUACGUUAGUGGCGGACGGGUGAGUAACGCGUGAGAAUCUACCUUCAGGACGGAGACAACAGUUGGAAACGACUGCUAACCCCCGAUGUACCGAAAGGGCAAAUAUUUAUAGCCUGAAGAAGAGCUCGCGUCCGAUUAGCUAGUUGGAGAGGUAAAAGCUCACCAAGGCGACGAUCGGUAGCUGGUCUGAGAGGACGAUCAGCCACACUGGGACUGAGACACGGCCCAGACUCCUACGGGAGGCAGCAGUGGGAAUUUCGCAAUGGCGAAAGCCUGACGGAGCAAGACCGCGUGGGGAAGAAGGCUCUUGGGUUGUAAACCCCUUUUCUCUGGGAAGAACGCAAUGACGGUACCAGAGGAAUCAGCAUCGGCUAACUCCGUGCCAGCAGCCGC